rnacentral:rRNA from 1 species
GAUCUGCGAAGUCAAGCU